GACAGAGGAGGCAAGCGUUGUCCGGACUUACUGGGCGUAAAGCGUCCGCAGGUGGUCGUGCAAGUGCCGUGUGAGAGCGCUCGGCUUAACUGAGCGAGGCCAUGGCAGACUGCUCGACUCGAGACCGGGAGAGGUCGGUGGAAUUGCCGGUGUAGCGGUGAAAUGCGUAGAUAUCGGGAGGAACACCUGUGGCGAAAGCGGCGCACUGGACCACAACUGACGCUGAGGCGCGAAAGCUAGGGGAGCAAACAGG
rnacentral:rRNA from 1 species